rnacentral:ncRNA from 1 species
GUGUACGUUGAGCCGAGAGAAGGUUAGCAUCUCCCUCGAUAAGGACGAGAAAAGGGAUUUUCCCUUCCAUUUACUUGAGGUUAAAGUCGUGUUCUUCGGAACAUAAGCCAUUUUUUU